CAUCUACUCCCUCCGUUCCAAAUUACUUGUCUUAGAUUUGUCUAGAUACGGAGGUAUUAGCACUAAAAUGAGUCUAAAUACAUCAGUAUCUAGACAAAUCCAAGACAAGUAAUUCGGAACGGAGGGAGUACUAU
rfam:Triticum urartu cultivar G1812 contig861968, whole genome shotgun sequence.